rnacentral:rRNA from 11 species
GUUUGAAGACCCCUGUCCUAAAGGCACUAGAUUUCAUUUGAUCUUGGAAGCUAAAUAAAAUAACUUCUGGCUACUACUUGGAUGGGAAAUUGCCAGUGAAUACCAGAUGCUGGAAGCU